rnacentral:rRNA from 1 species
AUUGAACGCUGGCGGCAGGCCUAACACAUGCAAGUCGAGCGAGCGGCGGACGGGUGAGUAAUGUCUGGGGAUCUGCCCGAUAGAGGGGGAUCACUCCUGGAAACGGUGGCUAAUACCGCAUACUAUCGGAUGAACCCAUAGGGGAUUAGCUAGUAGGUGGGGUAAAGGCUCACCUAGGCGACGAUCGCUAGCUGGUCUGAGCGGAUGAUCAGCCACACUGGAACUGAGACACGGCCCAGACUCCUACGGGAGGCAGCAGUGGGGAAGAUUGCACAAUGGGCGCAAGCCUGAUGCAGCCAUGCCGCGUGUAUGAAGAAGGCCUUAGGGUUGUAAAGUACUGUCAGCGGGGAGGCGUUACCCGCAGAAGAAGUACCGGCUAACUCCGUGCCAGCAGCCGCGGUAAUUC